rnacentral:rRNA from 1 species
GGCUCAGGACGAACGCUGGCGGCACGCUUAACACAUGCAAGUCGAACGAAGCUUGGAAGCUUGCUUCAAGCUUAGUGGCGGACGGGUGAGUAACACGUGAGCAACCUGCCUUCAGGUGUGGAAUAAUGGUUGGAAACGGCCACUAAUACCGCAUAAUGCAGCGGGAUCGCAUGAUCCUGCUGACCAAAGGUUUACUGCCUGAAGAUGGGCUCGCGUCCGAUUAGCUGGAUGGUGAGGUAACGGCUCACCAUGGCGACGAUCGGUAGCCGUACUGAGAGGUAGAUCGGCCACAUUGGGACUGAGACACGGCCCAGACUCCUACGGGAGGCAGCAGGUGGGGAAUAUUGCACAAUGGAGGAAACUCUGAUGCAAGCGAUGCCGCGUGAGGGAAGAAGGCUAUUUUUGUUGUAAACCUCUGUUAUCAGGGACGAUAAUGACGGUACCUGAGGAGGAAGCUCCGGCUAACUACGUGCCAGCAGCUGC